rnacentral:lncRNA from 1 species
GAAUGACUCGGUGAGGAACGGUGUAAAAAUUCUUGGGAAGAACAGAAAAUUCCAGACCGAGAUCAAUAUCUCGAAUUUCACGAGCAGGAAUAAACAUAUGUACGAUCUUGAGCGUAAAGAUUCCUCUACCAAUUUCUCCUUCUUCCUCGAGACGAGAAAGAGAGGAAAAAAAAAAACCAGCAACGAGCUCCACUAAAUUACACAGGGAUAUGCGAUAAUGGUAACGGUGGUAACGAGAGAAACAACGAGAGAUGGCGGUAGAGAAGUAAAAACUGAAACGAUUUUAUCGAAACGUAUCCUGCGCGCGCAGGUUUCUUCCGCUUUCGCGACAAAGCGCAAGAUGCGCGCGCCGCGGAAACCGGCGUAAUAAUUGGAGAACGAGAAGAUGUACGGCCGACCGAGUACCGCUAUUCCGGCUGACCGGAAUCACUGCUCUGGAACACCACGGUUCUCCCUCUCUCCCUCUUUUCUCUUCUUUCUCUCUUCAAUCUCGAAAACCUGCGCGUCAACGUGCUCGCAGGAGAACACGUGCUAACCGACUAACACCUGUUCCACGGUUCGAGCGCUUUUUCUUCGAGUGAAUUAUCAAUCCUGGCUCGAGAAUUAAGUGAAAUGUUAAAAAUAACAACUUUUUUGGAUCGAGAUCCACAAAUUGAGAACCAUUAAAUUAAUCUAAUCGUACACUUAUGAAAUAUCGAAAAUGUGUUUUAUGAGGUUGUCGGUGAUAGAGAGCGGAAAUUUCAGAAUGGGAAUAAUUUCAAAGAUAAAACUUCCGCUUUAUAGUCGGUACGAAGGUCGACAAAAAUAGAAUACGGUCAUGGUUCAAUAUUUUAUGACCCCUUUGUGAUUUGUAUAAAUUUUGCAAUGCCACUCUUAUGUUAGAAGAGAUAACUUAAUUUUACAAUCGAAUUUGAAGGCUUUUCAAGGUUUUUCAUAAUACUUUAACAACAAUAAUAAUUUAUAUUGAAUGAAAUAAUGAAACACAUAUAUUUACCAUUUCUAUUAUAAUAACACAAUUUGGACAACUACUUACACAUUUAAGAAAUAACACAAUAACCGAGCACCGAACAAACGAACGUUUUGCCAUUCCUUGAGCGUACUUUUCCUUAUCUGCAUGAUUUAUCGACAAAUUUAAUUUACCACCGACACGUGACCAUUAUUCACCUCGUAACAAGCGGUACUCCACGACAUAAGGAACACUGAAACGCAAAAUGGUCAGUUACGAAGAGGACAAUGGAAGCCUUACGAGAUACACCAUGAAGAAAGGAAGGGACAUCGUGAAGAUAUUUUGGCUAUAGGUUAUGUGCAUUUCACUCGAUUUCUUAACGCAACACGAGGUCAAUAAUUCCUCUGUUUUGAUACAUGUAUACAUCCGAUGAACUCACCCUCUAUACACUAAGAUAUUAUUUUAUUUUUGUAACAGUUUGAAUUGAAGUAUUGUUAAAUGAUAAUUAAUAUUACAAUAUAGAGUGGAACAUUGAUUCUAAAGGUCAAAAUAAAUACAAACAUUGGUCGAGGCUUUAUUCUAUUUAUUAAGUUAUAGGCAAUGAAAUGAUGACGUCUUCAUCACACUCUUGUCUAAUGGAAACUUCAAUUGUUUAUAAUUUAAUAAAUAAAUCUUAUAACUUAUAUUUUUGCUUGUAUCAACCUCUAAUAUUCUACAGUGAUAUACAAUAGCUUCUUAUAGCUACUUAAAUAGGUUUCUUGAUUGAUUAUCAAUAAUUAUCAACUUCAUUAAAAGGAUUUUUUAACAAAUGAAAAAAAGUAGAGGAAACCUCAAUUUGCAACACUUUGCACAAAUAAUACGCGAGAUAUUUGAUAUGAUGUAUACAUUUUAUUUACAACAACGUAUAACACUGGAUAUAAUAACAAUUAAACAUUUUAAAAUUAUCUAUUCAUAAAUGGUAAACGAAUUUACAUUUAUUAAAACUAGAUUCAUUGUUUAUCACAGGCAGACGAUAAAUAUGUAACAAGCGUGACACAAAUAACCUAUAACCCAAUAUGAAUAAACAUAAAUACAAUCAAUGUCCAGAAUGCCGGUCUUAAGGGACUGAAUAUGAACGGCGAAUGAGUCAAUCAACGAAUAAAAUUUCGAUCGAAACGAAGGCCUGGAAGAAGGAAAACUUAUCUAAAUGAGGUCCGGCUCAGCUUCAAGAAGGAACUGCGACAAGUUUCACCGGGCCCAUAAGAAAAAAGCAGAGAAUGUCGAAGGCCUUGUUAACAGGAUCUACGCGUAUUCAUUUCUGCCAUAUCAUUUUCAACCUUCGAUUACGUCUCGACAUAGUUACUAUUCCAAUCGUCUUCUCAUCCUAUCUUUUGACACAGAUUAAUAUAUCAUCAAUUGUGUAUUUAAUCAAACUGAUCACUUGGGUAAUUUUAAAAAAUACAUGUGAAGAA